rnacentral:rRNA from 1 species
UUAUUUUAAUACUAUUUUUUUUUAUGUAAUUUUUAUUUAAUUAUUAUUUAUGAUUUAAUUAGUAUAAUAUUAAGAAAUUUAUUAAUGAAUUCGACAAAUUUAAUUCUCAACUGUUUAUCAAAAACAUUUCUUUUAGUUAAAUAUUAAAGGUAUUUCCUGCCCUAUGAAUAUUUAAAUGGCUGCAGUAUUUUGACUGUGCAAAGGUAGCUUAAUAAUGAGUUUCUUAAUUAGGAACUGGUAUGAAUGGAUUAAUGAGGAAUUUUUUUUAUUAUUUUUUGUAUUAAAAUUUUAUUUGUAAGUAAAAAAUCUUACUUAAUUUUCUGGGACGAGAAGACCCUACAGAACUUUAUUAAUUUUGAAUUAAAAUAUUUUUAGGUUUUUUUAUUUGAAUAAUUUAAUAGUAAUUUUGUUGGGGUGACAUAUAAAUAUAAACUUUAUAUAUAAAUUUCAAUUAUUUUUGUAUUUUUGAUCCAAUUUUUGAUUAUAAGAAUAAGUUACCUUAGGGAUAACAGCGUAAUUUUUAUGGAAAGUUCAUAUUUAUAUAAGAGUUUACGACCUCGAUGUUGAAUUAAUAAAAGAUUAGGGGGUAGGUUUCUUUUUUCUAAGUCUGUUCGACUUUUAAAUUUUUACAUGAUUUGAGUUCAAACCGGUGUGAGCCAGGUUGGUUUCUAUCUAGAAACAUUUAUUCUUUAUUAGUACGAAAGGACCAUAGGGUACAAUUAUAUUGUGAUUAAAUUUAAA